UAUCUUCAGGGCAGGGUGAAAUUCCCUACCGGCAGUUAAAGCCUGCGAGCCGCUUUGCGGUUGAUCCGGUGCGAUCCCGGAGCCGACGGUAUAGUCCGGAUGUGAGAAGAUG
rnacentral:ncRNA from 1 species